rnacentral:lncRNA from 1 species
AGGCAGAUCACCUAAGGCCAGGAAUUCGACACCAGCCUGGCCAACGUGGCAAAACCCGUCUCUACUAAAAAUACAAAAAUUAGCCGGGCGUGGUGGUGUGCGCCUGGAAUCCCAGCUACCCAGGAGGCUGAGGCAGGAGAAAUGCUGGAACCCGGGAGGCAGAGGCUGCAGUGAGCUGAGAUCAUGCCACUACUGCACUCCAGCCUGGGUGACACAGCAAGACUCCCUCUAAAAAAAGAAAAAAAGAAAAGAAAAGAAAAGAAAAUGAUAUAUCCAUGAUGAAUUAAAAUGGAGUGGAACCCACUGAUGGUAUGCAGCUGAUAAGACGCUAUAGAGAAAUGAUAUCCGGACACAUGGUGAGACUUUUUCUCCUCUGUAAAUCUCAAUUCUUGUGAUUCUUUCAAAGGGAAAGCCACAGAAGGUACCAGUUAUCCACUCACUGACUUAGGUGCCUCCACUAGAAUUCUCAGCACGUUUUUGCAGAACCUGGGCAACAAGAGCGAAACCCCAUCUCAAAACCACAACAACAACAACAGGACAACAGAGAUGGACGACGGAUCGGGAAAGCCAACCAGACAGCGUGAGGCCAGGACGGAAAGAGGCACAGGGAGCUCUGCUCAGUGUCGCUACAGGGGAUCUCUCAGGCUCACAACGGGCCACUCCUCUAGGGAAGUUCUGGUCUCAUCAUGAUCCUUGUUUGGUCUCACUCCCCAUGUCCUUCUCUGUCCCUCCUCCAACUGCCAUUUAUUUAUUUAACUGAAAAAGUACCAAUCACCCACAUAGGCAUGACAUACUCAUCCAUGUACCCAUUUCUUAAAAUUGAUCAUUGUUAACAUUUGGUGUAAUUUGCUUUAUUUAUUUUUAAUGAAAUAAAUAAAACUUUACAGAAAAUGCUUUAUUUUUCUCUUUGUUCCCUCCCCAUCCUAUAUUUUUCUCCUAAAAAACCCUAUUAUCAGAAAUAUUAGUGUGUAUUCCCAGUUUCGACUUUUUAUUUUAUUACACACACACUCCCACACAUAGCUGUGACAAUGAACUUCACAUAGUAUGGUUCUGUAUUUUCUCUUUGUUUUUCAAACUUACAUAAGUAUUUUACUAUUUCUCAUGGAAAAACUCACUUUUCCCAUCCAACGUUAUGUUUCCUUAAGAUCUCUCUAUGUUGAUAUAAAGAAAUCUAGCUCAUUCUUUUUAAUGAAAAUAAAGUAUAUUUUAUGAAUGUAACUCAUGCUAACCAUGGCAAUAAAAGCUCCAUCAAGCAUGCAUUUAGU